rnacentral:rRNA from 1 species
GUGGGGAAUAUUGGACAAUGGGGGGAACCCUGAUCCAGCCAUGCCGCGUGUGUGAAGAAGGCCUUUUGGUUGUAAAGCACUUUAAGCGAGGAGGAGGCUACCGAGAUUAAUACUCUUGGAUAGUGGACGUUACUCGCAGAAUAAGCACCGGCUAACUCUGUGCCAGCAGCCGCGGUAAUACAGAGGGUGCAAGCGUUAAUCGGAUUUACUGGGCGUAAAGCGCGCGGAGGUGGUCAAUUAAGUCAAAUGUGAAAUCCCCGAGCUUAACUUGGGAAUUGCAUGCGAUACUGGUGGGCUAGAGUAUGGGAGAGGAUGGUAGAAUUCCAGGUGUAGCGGUGAAAUGCGUAGAGAUCUGGAGGAAUACCGAUGGCGAAGGCAGCCAUCUGGCCUAAUACUGACACUGAGGUGCGAAAGCAUGGGGAGCAAACAGGAUUAGAUACCCUGGUAGUCC